CCAAGCGUUCGAUCUUACACAGGUAGCCCCUGGAUGGCAGCACUGUUUGUUUCAUAUACAGGUGAAGCAGAGAUCGGUGAUAACAUGGCGAUGUAAUAUGGCGAUGUGCCACGCCGAUAGAUGGAGACGUGACUAGCCUCAGGGCACGGCGGGAAACUAUGAAUUUGACUGGAAAAGAAACUUCGUUGUUACUCCCGUCGGAAUAGAAUCCAGAUACGUUUCCCGAAAUCCAAUGUUCUAGUCAGUGUAGCCGAAGGGCUCGAGACACUUUAUUGCGAUGUUGUUCCCGACGUGAUAGGAAGGAACGACAAGAAUCUUGGUAAAAACGGAUAGAUAACAGGUGUCUGUCUAUUCGCUUAGUGACUCGAAAAUCUCAAGGGUGCUUGCAUUAAGGAAUAAUAUACGAGACAAGCUUGCGCUUAUUCGAACGUGUACAAAAUGAGAAUACGUUUGAACGUAGCCAAACGGAAGAAGUUUCUUUUCCAAAUAGACACACUCGGAUACUCGGCGUAAAGCGUUGAUAAGAAAACAUCAGAAAUAGAGGGAAAACAUCAGAAAUAGAGAGAGAAAGAGAGAGAAAAAGAGAGAACUAGGGUAUCGACUGAUAAAACGCAUAAACUGAAAGCGUAUGAAAAUAAUGAAGAUUGAACGUAUAAAUGUCUUAUCCCUGGCGGUAACGUGUUAGUAGAAGAAAAAAAGAGGAUAUCGAUCAUAAAAAGGAGAAAGAGAUAGGAGAGAGAGAGAGAGAAAGAGAGAAUUCGAUUUGGUUCGAGUCGCAAAGUGGUAUAUACAUCGGAUAGCAGUCUAGCAAUGAGAAAAUCAGAAAUAUUCUUGACAAGAACAAGCCAAACUCGCGCCCCAAAAAAUCGAUUAUAUUUAUCGAAUUCCAAGAAUCCAUUCUUCCGGAAUGGUGACGUGUUUUUAGAAAUAAGUCCGAUAACUCUGUUUUACGAGCACUAGCUCACGUUAGACAAAAGGAGCCCUAGAGGCUUUCUAUUUCGGUUAUAUCGAAGGACGUCCGAGAAAAGAAGUGCGAGAUAACAAGGAUCCAAAGGGUCGUCGUAGCAGUCUAGAAAGGGUUAUCUAAUAAGCUACCUCGAAAGGGUUACCUUUCCCCGUGUUUCAAAAGAGUCAAACCACCCUACCAACUUACCACCCUACCACCUUACCACCCUACCACUUCUUUCACAAGUCUUCGCUGGCUCCGCUCUCUUCUUUCUUCCUUCUUUACUUCUUUUUCCUACUUCUCUUUAUCGAGUAAGGUUCCCCCGUAUCGACUACGAUCGAUAAUGUCUGUAUUCACGAUUCCUCGUAUAAUCUUAGGCAAUAUCGUAUCUGGAUGGCGCCACCUCGUAACCGGCACGACACUCAUCGAUGAAACCGGCGACCCCAAUCCGUGAUUUCCAUCGACCAUUGGAAGUCGGAACCAUAAUCAACCCUUCGUGGAAAAGGGAUCUAACAGGGUCAGAGAAUGUUGCACCGGCGGGGUAAAGAGGAAAAAAGGUAUUUGAAAAAGGUAGACCAACGUAAUGUGCAAUCGGAUGAAACCUUAGAUGUCUUGAAAGUAACGUUAAAACCAUCCCGUCCUUCCCACCUUGGCCAGCUCCAACCGCGUAACUGAUUACAUGAAAAUCGCUGUCAUAAUAUAGGUCAGACGACGUAUCAUAAAAUGUUCAAGGACGUUAAAUGUAAAAAACUAUUUAGCGAACUUUUAUAUACUGAUAUCUAAUGAAAUUGUUUGUUAUAAUUUGUAAAAGAAGUUGUAGCCGAAAGGAAAG